GGUCCAGGAACAUCUGGAGGGCUGGGGGUGGGCGGGGAAAAAAACCCACACACAGACCGGCCCCAAAGAGAGCAGCCUUUGAAAUGUCAGUGAGCAUUCUUUGCCCUCAUUCCAUGAUGGAAACUCGCCGCGUGGUAACGCAGUGCGUGGUGCCCAAAAGGCCAGACGGUGCCCACCGAGUCCCUGGUCUUUGCUGCCCCCAGAUGGUGCAGCCUGAGCCUCUUCCCCCCCCACACACACACCUCUCUCUCUUUCUUGCUUCUUUAUCCAGAUGUGGAGCUGCCCUACUUCCAGGAGAAGCUGCUCAUUUCCCUCCUGGGCCCGACGCCCCACCAGAGGCAUCGCUCUUUGCCCGAAGCCCAGGCGGCCUGCUACCUGGAGGAAGAACGAUGCACGGGGAUCCUGACCCUCAAUGGGGCCCAUUACACGGUGGGAGGGACUGUGCUGGUCGACAGCCCGGGCUCGGGGGCCGUCCUCUACGUCAAGGCAGCGUGCUCCCCGGGCUUCUGCGGGGACCGGUGCCAAAGGCGAUGCUCCCCUUGCUUGAGCACCCAAGUCUACAACCCGCUGACUGGCCGCUGUGAUGGGCUCCUGCGCUGCGUCCGCCGAUUCAGCCCUUCCUGCGCUCACGGUAAGCGGGAGAGGGUUGGGCGUUUCUCAGUCCUGGAGAGAAAACACCCACCCCAUAGGCCCUGGAUGACAUGGGAGUCCGGAGGGGCGUCCCCCGAGCCCUGUUUUCUCUGCUCUGAACCAGAUUGCAGAGAUCCUCUUUGGGGGGGGGAGAGGCUGCUGGGGUCUUUGGCACAUGAUGCAGGGGCACCCACCCCAACCUCUGGGUCGUGAUCUGCCUUUCUGGGGGGUGCAAAAGAGGAGCGCAGCUAUGCGGAGUUGUUGAGAAGAGAAUCGUGGCUGAUUUCCCUUGCAAACAGAAGAGAGGCUAACAUUAUCUGGGGGGAACGGGCACCAAAAGGUAGGGGGCGGCCUCUCGUCCUGGAUCGGGGCCCAGGGACCAGCUGCGUGUGGUCCCACCCCUCCCCUGAGGACAGGGCAGAGAGGCGAGGAGCCCACAACUCUGCCUGGCGGUCCCUCCCAUGUUUCCUUU
rnacentral:lncRNA from 1 species